GACGAACGCUGGCGGCGUGCCUAAUACAUGCAAGUAGAACGCUGAAGAGAGGAGCUUGCUCUUCUUGGAUGAGUUGCGAACGGGUGAGUAACGCGUAGGUAACCUGCCUUGUAGCGGGGGAUAACUAUUGGAAACGAUAGCUAAUACCGCAUAACAAUGGAUGACACAUGUCAUUUAUUUGAAAGGGGCAAUUGCUCCACUACAAGAUGGACCUGCGUUGUAUUAGCUAGUAGGUGAGGUAAUGGCUCACCUAGGCGACGAUACAUAGCCGACCUGAGAGGGUGAUCGGCCACACUGGGACUGAGACACGGCCCAGACUCCUACGGGAGGCAGCAGUAGGGAAUCUUCGGCAAUGGGGGCAACCCUGACCGAGCAACGCCGCGUGAGUGAAGAAGGUUUUCGGAUCGUAAAGCUCUGUUGUAAGUCAAGAACGGGUGUGAGAGUGGAAAGUUCACACUGUGACGGUAGCUUACCAGAAAGGGACGGCUAACUACGUGCCAGCAGCCGCGGUAAUACGUAGGUCCCGAGCGUUGUCCGGAUUUAUUGGGCGUAAAGCGAGCGCAGGCGGUUUGAUAAGUCUGAAGUUAAAGGCUGUGGCUCAACCAUAGUUCGCUUUGGAAACUGUCAAACUUGAGUGCAGAAGGGGAGAGUGGAAUUCCAUGUGUAGCGGUGAAAUGCGUAGAUAUAUGGAGGAACACCGGUGGCGAAAGCGGCUCUCUGGUCUGUAACUGACGCUGAGGCUCGAAAGCGUGGGGAGCGAACAGGAUUAGAUACCCUGGUAGUCCACGCCGUAAACGAUGAGUGCUAGGUGUUGGAUCCUUUCCGGGAUUCAGUGCCGCAGCUAACGCAUUAAGCACUCCGCCUGGGGAGUACGACCGCAAGGUUGAAACUCAAAGGAAUUGACGGGGGCCCGCACAAGCGGUGGAGCAUGUGGUUUAAUUCGAAGCAACGCGAAGAACCUUACCAGGUCUUGACAUCCCGAUGCUAUUUCUAGAGAUAGAAAGUUACUUCGGUACAUCGGUGACAGGUGGUGCAUGGUUGUCGUCAGCUCGUGUCGUGAGAUGUUGGGUUAAGUCCCGCAACGAGCGCAACCCCUAUUGUUAGUUGCCAUCAUUCAGUUGGGCACUCUAGCGAGACUGCCGGUAAUAAACCGGAGGAAGGUGGGGAUGACGUCAAAUCAUCAUGCCCCUUAUGACCUGGGCUACACACGUGCUACAAUGGUUGGUACAACGAGUUGCGAGUCGGUGACGGCGAGCUAAUCUCUUAAAGCCAAUCUCAGUUCGGAUUGUAGGCUGCAACUCGCCUACAUGAAGUCGGAAUCGCUAGUAAUCGCGGAUCAGCACGCCGCGGUGAAUACGUUCCCGGGCCUUGUACACACCGCCCGUCACACCACGAGAGUUUGUAACACCCGAAGUCGGUGAGGUAACCUUUUGGAG
rnacentral:rRNA from 1 species